rnacentral:rRNA from 1 species
CAGCUCAAAUUUGAAAUCUGGCUCUUUCAGAGUCCGAGUUGUAAUUUGCAGAGGGCGCUUUGGUGUUGGCAGCGGUCCAAGUUCUUUGGAACAGGACGUCACAGAGGGUGAGAAUCCCGUACGUGGUCGCUAGCCCUCACCGUGUAAAGCCCCUUCGACGAGUCGAGUUGUUUGGGAAUGCAGCUCUAAAUGGGAGGUAAAUUUCUUCUAAAGCUAAAUACUGGCCAGAGACCGAUAGCGCACAAGUAGAGUGAUCGAAAGAUGAAAAGCACUUUGGAAAGAGAGUCAAAUAGCACGUGAAAUUGUUGAAAGGGAAGCGCUUGCAGCCAGACUUGCCUGUAGUUGCUUAUCCGGACUUUUGUCCGGUGCACUCUUCUGCGGGCAGGCCAGCAUCAGUUUGGGCGGUUGGAUAAAGGUCUCUGUCAUGUACCUCCUUUCGGGGAGGCCUUAUAGGGGAGACGACAUGCAACCAGCCUGGACUGAGGUCCGCGCAUCUGCUAGGAUGCUGGCGUAAUGGCUGUAAGCGGCCCGUCUUGAAACACGGACCAAGGAGUCUAACAUCUAUGCGAGUGUUUGGGUGUCAAGCCCAGACGCGUAAUGAAAGUGAACGGAGGUGGGAACCCUUUGGGUGCACCAUCGACCGAUCCUGAUGUCUUCGGAUGGAUUUGAGUAAGAGCAUGGCUGUUGGGACCCGAAAGAUGGUGAACUAUGCUUGAAUAGGGUGAAGCCAGAGGAAACUCUGGUGGAGGCUCGCAGCGGGUUCUGACGUGCAAAUCGAUCGUCAAUUUGG